rnacentral:rRNA from 1 species
AGAGCACUCCUACGGGAGGGCAGCAGUGGGGAAUAUUGCACAAUGGGCGCAAGCCUGAUGCAGCCAUGGCCGCGUGUAUGAAGAAGGCCUUCGGGUUGUAAAGUACUUUCAGCAGUGAGGAAGGUGGGUAUGUUAAUAGCAUACUCAUUUGACGUUAGCUGCAGAAGAAGCACCGGCUAACUCCGUGCCAGCAGCCGCGGUAAUACGGAGGGUGCGAGCGUUAAUCGGAAUUACUGGGCGUAAAGCGCAUGCAGGUGGUUUGUUAAGUCAGAUGUGAAAGCCCGGGGCUCAACCUCGGAAUUGCAUUUGAAACUGGCAAACUAGAGUACUGUAGAGGGGGUAGAAUUUCAGGUGUAGCGGUGAAAUGCGUAGAGAUCUGAAGGAAUACCGGUGGCGAAGGCGGCCCCCUGGACAGAUACUGACACUCAGAUGCGAAAGCGUGGGGAGCAAACAGGAUUAGAUACCCUGGUAG